GGGUUGUGAGGUUAAGCGACUAAGCGUACACGGUGGAUGCCCUGGCAGUCAGAGGCGAUGAAGGACGUGCUAAUCUGCGAUAAGCGUCGGUGAGGUGAUAUGAACCGUUAUAACCGGCGAUUUCCGAAUGGGGAAACCCAGUGUGUUUCGACACACUAUCAUUAACUGAAUCCAUAGGUUAAUGAGGCGAACCGGGGGAACUGAAACAUCUAAGUACCCCGAGGAAAAGAAAUCAACCGAGAUUCCCCCAGUAGCGGCGAGCGAACGGGGAGGAGCCCAGAGCCUGAAUCAGUGUGUGUGUUAGUGGAAGCGUCUGGAAAGGCGCGCGAUACAGGGUGACAGCCCCGUACACAAAAAUGCACAUAUUGUGAGCUCGAUGAGUAGGGCGGGACACGUGGUAUCCUGUCUGAAUAUGGGGGGACCAUCCUCCAAGGCUAAAUACUCCUGACUGACCGAUAGUGAACCAGUACCGUGAGGGAAAGGCGAAAAGAACCCCGGCGAGGGGAGUGAAAAAGAACCUGAAACCGUGUACGUACAAGCAGUGGGAGCCUCUUAAUGGGGUGACUGCGUACCUUUUGUAUAAUGGGUCAGCGACUUAUAUUCUGUAGCAAGGUUAACCGAAUAGGGGAGCCGAAGGGAAACCGAGUCUUAACUGGGCGUUAAGUUGCAGGGUAUAGACCCGAAACCCGGUGAUCUAGCCAUGGGCAGGUUGAAGGUUGGGUAACACUAACUGGAGGACCGAACCGACUAAUGUUGAAAAAUUAGCGGAUGACUUGUGGCUGGGGGUGAAAGGCCAAUCAAACCGGGAGAUAGCUGGUUCUCCCCGAAAGCUAUUUAGGUAGCGCCUCGUGAAUUCAUCUCCGGGGGUAGAGCACUGUUUCGGCAAGGGGGUCAUCCCGACUUACCAACCCGAUGCAAACUGCGAAUACCGGAGAAUGUUAUCACGGGAGACACACGGCGGGUGCUAACGUCCGUCGUGAAGAGGGAAACAACCCAGACCGCCAGCUAAGGUCCCAAAGUCAUGGUUAAGUGGGAAACGAUGUGGGAAGGCCCAGACAGCCAGGAUGUUGGCUUAGAAGCAGCCAUCAUUUAAAGAAAGCGUAAUAGCUCACUGGUCGAGUCGGCCUGCGCGGAAGAUGUAACGGGGCUAAACCAUGCACCGAAGCUGCGGCAGCGACGCUUAUGCGUUGUUGGGUAGGGGAGCGUUCUGUAAGCCUGUGAAGGUGGCCUGUGAGGGUUGCUGGAGGUAUCAGAAGUGCGAAUGCUGACAUAAGUAACGAUAAAGCGGGUGAAAAGCCCGCUCGCCGGAAGACCAAGGGUUCCUGUCCAACGUUAAUCGGGGCAGGGUGAGUCGACUCCUAAGGCGAGGCCGAAAG
rnacentral:rRNA from 1 species